AGAAACAAUAUCUCAGUGACGUCUCAGGACCACAGGGGGAACAGCUCACUCUUCAGAGUAUUUGAGCUUUAUAUAGCUCUAAUUUGUUCCUACCAAGAUAGAAAAAGGAUGACUUCCCCCUCCACACUGAUCCAGCAGCAGACGGGAGGCAGGAUCAUUGAUUAAUAUUUCUGGAGGGAGUGAUGGCUAACCGUAAGCUGUGCUUAACCCAAACAACGCCAAACACAGCCAUCAGAGGUUAAACACAGAAGUUUGGGUUUAUACUUUCAGAAAAAAA